GAAGUGUACAUUACAAUAUAUUUUUGCCUCAGAUUGUUGGAAGAAAGUGAUAAUGCAACUUGCAAAUUUCAUACUUGUCCCAUAGACUGCAGUGGUUAUUCUUUUAGGUGGCAAGUUGGUAAUUAGAUCUCAAAAUUAUUUUUUUCAUUAUUUAUUGGAUGGUGUUGAUCAUUGACUGGUAUGUUUGUCAUUGCUUUGGUACUGGAGAGCUGACAAUAUUGGCAUUAUCUCAAUCAGCUUGUUGAGACAGACAGACAGCAUUACUAUAAUAUGAGAUGGAGCAGCUAAGAAGAUUUACACCAAUGCAUGUUUUUCUAUAAUAAGAAGACAACAGCCAUGUUAUUGUUACUGAUGGCCGCAUUGUGUUAUCAAAUUGACGAAGUUACAUGGUGACUUGUGGUAGAAGAUAAGUGCAUGUGGUAUUGUUGUACACUGGUACUUUUAAUGACUUUUGGAGCUUUGGGCACUGUGCAGAAUGCAUGGUAGCUGGGCAUCAUUUCCAUCAUCAUAUCUUCAAUCUUUUACAAGAAACUUUGCAAUGUUCUCAAAUUUUUAUAUAGUCUGUCUUUGUAUAGCCAUGAUGGUCUAAGCAUUUUUGAAGCUUUGUUUGCUUUUAGUGCUUGCAAGAACAGUUAUGUGUAAUCAUGCAUUGUUGAAAUUGUGCCUGCAUCUGAAUAUUCUAUAUUUGGUUUUGUUGCAUCCAUCUCUUACGUUGAAUUAUCUCUUAUGAGUAGAGUUGCAUCAUAAUCAAGUUGGUUAUCAGUUAUGAGCCGAUAUAGUUAUGUUUGGUAAUUGGGCAUAUAUAGUUCACCGCUAAUAUUUAUUGCUGUAGGAAAUGCAUUUGUUGAAACAGUUCAUAAUAUCAUACAAGAUCCCCAAAAUGCCAAUAACAACCCAGUUGUUUAUCGGGAAGUUGAUGUUGAUGGUGGUGUAAAUGGGGAUUAUCUUGGUUUCUCGGUUGCAAUCGGAUCAUUUUUUUCUGAUGAGGUGACAUAUGCUAUGGCAAAGCCGAAAGCUUUUAACUUUAAAGGAGGAGUAACUGUGUUUAAGAGAGUUGAAGUAAGUGGAUUUCGGUUGAUGCCUUUGACCACUGUACAAGGAAGUGAACUGAAUCAAAUCUACAGUGUGAUGGAGUCAAAUGAAGAUCAGCAAUAUAUACAGUCCGCGUCAUAAUUAUAAGGACACUGUUGUCAAAACAUGCGGGUACUUUUAGAUUGUAAAUUAUUUUUAGACAAUAAGUGAAAUCUUUCAUUUGUGGCAGUACAAGAUGUAAACGUAAUCGCACUAUUCUAU